rnacentral:rRNA from 1 species
UAGGGAAUCUUCCGCAAUGGGCGAAAGCCUGACGGAGCAACGCCGCGUGAGUGAUGAAGGUCUUCGGAUCGUAAAACUCUGUUAUUAGGGAAGAACAAAUGUGUAAGUAACUAUGCACGUCUUGACGGUACCUAAUCAGAAAGCCACGGCUAACUACGUGCCAGCAGCCGCGGUAAUACGUAGGUGGCAAGCGUUAUCCGGAAUUAUUGGGCGUAAAGCGCGCGUAGGCGGUUUUUUAAGUCUGAUGUGAAAGCCCACGGCUCAACCGUGGAGGGUCAUUGGAAACUGGGAAACUUGAGUGCAGAAGAGGAAAGUGGAAUUCCAUGUGUAGCGGUGAAAUGCGCAGAGAUAUGGAGGAAAACCAGUGGCGAAGGCGACUUUCUGGUCUGUAACUGACGCUGAUGUGCGAAAGCGUGGGGAUCAAACAGG